rnacentral:rRNA from 1 species
UUCCGGUUGAUCCUGCCGGACCUGACUGCUAUCGGAUUGAUGCUAAGCCAUGCGAGUCAUUGUAGCAAUACAAGGCAGACGGCUCAGUAACGCGUAGUCAACCUAACCUAUGGACGGGAAUAACCUCGGGAAACUGAGAAUAAUGCCCGAUAGAACACUAUACCUGGAAUGGUUUGUGUUCCAAAUGAUUUAUCGCCGUAGGAUGGGACUGCGGCCUAUCAGUUUGUUGGUGAGGUAAUGGCCCACCAAGACUAUUACAGGUACGGGCUCUGAGAGGAGUAGCCCGGAGAUGGGUACUGAGACACGGACCCAGGCCCUAUGGGGCGCAGCAGGCGAGAAAACUUUGCAAUGUGCGAAAGCACGACAAGGUUAAUCCGAGUGGUUUGUGCUAAACGAACCUUUUGUCGGUCCUAGAAACACCGAUGAAUAAGGGGUGGGCAAGUUCUGGUGUCAGCCGCCGCGGUAAAACCAGCACCUCAAGUGGUCAGGAUGACUAUUGGGCCUAAAGCAUCCGUAGCCGGCGCUGUAAGUUUUCGGUUAAAUCUGUACGCUCAACGUACAGGCUGCCGGGAAUACUGCAGCGCUAGGGAGUGGGAGAGGUAGACGGUACUCGGUAGGAAGGGGUAAAAUCCUUUGAUCUAUUGAUGACCACCUGUGGCGAAGGCGGUCUACCAGAACACGUCCGACGGUGAGGGAUGAAAGCUGGGGGAGCGAACCGGAUUAGAUACCCGGGUAGUCCCAGCUGUAAACUAUGCAAACUCAGUGAUGCAUUGGCUUGUGGCCAAUGCAGUGCUGCAGGGAAGCCGUUAAGUUUGCCGCCUGGGAAGUACGUACGCAAGUAUGAAACUUAAAGGAAUUGGCGGGGGGGCACCACAAGGGUGAAGCCUGCGGUUCAAUUGGAGUCAACGCCGGG